UGAUCUGUCAGAUGGACUGGGAGACCACAAUAAAUGCACAAAAACUGAUGUCACAGUCCUCAGUAAUGUUGCCCAAACAUUAAAGCAUCCAGCCAUUGAGGAGCCAUCCAAGAUGUGGUGUCCACAGCUGCAAUCAUGUUUCUGUAAACAAGCGUGACAUUCCUACCAUUAUUGACCUAAAUAAAAAAAAAAUGGUCCACCCUGA